GUGCAUGCACAGAGAGGUGGGGAGACAUGUGCACAUUAGAGAGAAUCAGACACACACACAUAGUCAUACUUACUAAUGUGCCCUCUUUCUGUCUCUCUCAGAGGAACACACACACACACACACACACACACACACACACACACACACACACACACACACUCACACACACACACACAAAACUAGAGAUGUCAGACUCAGAGACCUCCGUUCCCCCUGAAAGCUACGUCCCAGCUGCUUGCGAGACCAUCAAAGCAAAUCUGGAUAAAUGUAUAAAAGACAAUGGAGAAUCAGCAUGUAAGGAGCUGAUGGAGGUGUUUGCUGCUUGUGUAAAGAGCAAUGCUAGAGCACCAUGAGAAACUCUGACACAUGACAGCAUUCCCUGGAGUUAAUGUCUUGGGUGGUGAUCUGGCAGCAGCAGAAACACCUACACCUCUUCUUUUACCCUCACCUACCCCUGUAAAGAUUAGAUGGUAUCUUCCUGCCCUCCCUCUCCCUUGUGGUCUGAUGAUCUGAUUUGAUCUGUGGAGCUUGUGUGUUUUUUUUAUGUAAACUAUUUGCUUAAGAUUCUUCCAUAAUAAUGAAAUAAAGUUUCAAACAUCA